rnacentral:rRNA from 1 species
AGUGAACGCUGGCGGUAGGCCUAACACAUGCCAGUCGAACGGCAGCACAGUAAGAGCUUGCUCUUACGGGUGGCGAGUGGCGGACGGGUGAGGAAUACAUCGGAAUCUACUUUUUCGUGGGGGAUAACGUAGGGAAACUUACGCUAAUACCGCAUACGACCUACGGGUGAAAGCAGGGGAUCUUCGGACCUUGCGCGAUUGAAUGAGCCGAUGUCGGAUUAGCUAGUUGGCGGGGUAAAGGCCCACCAAGGCGACGAUCCGUAGCUGGUCUGAGAGGAUGAUCAGCCACACUGGAACUGAGCCACGGUCCAGACUCCUACGGGAGGCAGCAGUGGGGAAUAUUGGACAAUGGGCGCAAGCCUGAUCCAGCCAUACCGCGUGGGUGAAGAAGGCCUUCGGGUUGUAAAGCCCUUUUGUUGGGAAAGAAAAGCAGCAGGUUAAUACCCCGCUGUUCUGACGGUACCCAAAGAAUAAGCACCGGCUAACUUCGUG